rnacentral:tRNA from 1 species
UGGGGUGUAGCUCAGUGGUAGAGCACUUACCUAGCAGGUUCACAGUCCUGGCUUCAAAUCCCAGCACCACAA